rnacentral:rRNA from 1 species
UGAGGAAUAUUGCGCAAUGGAGGAAACUCUGACGCAGCUAUACCGCGUGCAGGAUGACAGUCUUAUGGAUUGUAAACUGCUUUUAUAUGGGAAGAAACGCCAGAACGUGUUCUGGUUUGACGGUACCAUAAGAACAAGGACCGGCUAACUCCGUGCCAGCAGCCGCGGUAAUACGGAGGGUCCAAGCGUUAUCCGGAUUUAUUGGGUUUAAAGGGUCCGCAGGCGGGAUGCUAAGUCAGUGAUGAAAUCCUACAGCUCAACUGUAGAACUGCCAUUGAUACUGGUAUUCUUGAGUGUAGUUGGAGUAAGUGGAACGUGUUAAGUAGCGGUGAAAUGCAUAGAUAUAACACAGAACACCAAAAGCGAAGGCAGCUUACUAAACUAUUACUGACGCUCAUGGACGAAAGCGUGGGGAGCGAACAGG